CAGUACAAAGUUGAACUGAGGCUGAGUCUCUAUGCCGAAUGAGGAGCACUGGAUUGGAUACCCAGGUACCAGCGCUUCCAUUAAUAAGAAAGUAAUACAAUUGCUUG
rnacentral:rRNA from 1 species